AAAGUCGUAACAAGGUUUCCGUAGGUGAACCUGCGGAAGGAUCAUUAACAGAUUCUGCUAGUCAGAUAUCUAACCCGUGUGAACUGUUCUUUAGCCUUGGUACCCAAGAUCUUACUCCUCUGGGGGUCUGAUCUAAGUACCAUCCAUUUUUACCCUUUAACUUUGAGUGCUGAGUAAACCAAAAAAGACUAGAAAACUUUUAGCAACGGAUCUCUAGGCUCUU
rnacentral:misc_RNA from 1 species